GGGGGAAUAUUGCACAAUGGGGGAAACCCUGAUGCAGCGACGCCGCGUGAAGGAAGAAGUAUCUCGGUAUGUAAACUUCUAUCAGCAGGGAAGAAAAUGACGGUACCUGACUAAGAAGCCCCGGCUAACUACGUGCCAGCAGCCGCGGUAAUACGUAGGGGGCAAGCGUUAUCCGGAUUUACUGGGUGUAAAGGGAGCGUAGACGGUAUGGCAAGUCUGAUGUGAAAGGCUGGGGCUCAACCCCGGGACUGCAUUGGAAACUGUCGAACUAGAGUGCCGGAGGGGUAAGCGGAAUUCCUAGUGUAGCGGUGAAAUGCGUAGAUAUUAGGAGGAACACCAGUGGC
rnacentral:rRNA from 1 species